UAUAUUUAAAAUAGUAAAAAUGUAAUAAGGGUUCCUGGGGCUGAGGGAUCAGAGUGCGAGACCCUGACUGAAGACCCAGGUCCAGGCUAUCUUCAGGGGUACUACUGUGAUCCCAAGACAAUGAGCAGAAUCUCUGGCAGCUGAUCUAGGUCUUAUGUCACUGGGCUGCCCUGACCAGAGAUAUCAAAGAUGAAUGGCUGGCUACAGAGGAUGACAUACCUUGGAACAUGGCUUGGCUCUUGGACAAGGGCCCUGACUUAAUAGCAAUGUAGAAGAAAUCUCUGAGAAUUGUCAGCAAUAAAAAAAAAAAAAAAAGACUAAAAAGCAAGGGAGAUUGGAAUAAUACCACAAGUUUUAAGAGAUGAACGGAACAAUAAUUCAACUACCACCACAAUGCUGAGAGUGUGUUUUAGAAGGAGCCCAACUAGGAAGAAAAAACAGAGCAAAGGAAAAUGGUAAGACAGACUCUGAAGAGCAAG